rnacentral:rRNA from 1 species
CCUACGGGUGGCAGCAGUGAGGAAUAUUGGGCAAUGGAGGCAACUCUGAACCAGCCAUGCCGCGUGCGUGAAGAAGGUUUUCUGAUUGUUAAACUCUUUCUGUUGUAGCGUUAAUCACAAUAGCCUCUAACAACUCCCCGGCUAACUCCGUUCCAGCAGCCGCGGUAAUACGACGGGGGCAAGCGUUGUUCGGAGUUACUGGGCGUAAAGGGGGUGUAGGCGGUUUAGUAAGAUAGUGGUGAAAUCUCAGAGCUUAACUUUGGAAUUGCCACUAUAACUAUUAGACUAGAAUGACAGCGAGGAGAGUGGAAUACAUAGUGUAGAGGUGAAAUGCGUAGAGAUUGUGUAGAACACCAGUGGCGAAGGCGACUAUCUGGCUGUAAAUUGACGCUGAGGCUCGAAAGCAUGGGGAGCAAACAGGAUUAGAUACCCGGGUAGUC